GUUUAUGUAGCUUAAAUUUAAUAGCCUAGCACUGAAAAUGCUAAAAUGGGAGUUUUUCCCCCCCUAAACA
rnacentral:tRNA from 1 species